GGUUAAGCGACUAAGCGUACACGGUGGAUGCCCUGGCAGUCAGAGGCGAUGAAGGGCGUGCUAAUCUGCGAUAAGCGCCGGUAAGGUGAUAUGAACCGUUAUAACCGGCGAUACCCGAAUGGGGAAACCCAGUGUGACUCGUCACACUAUCAUUAACUGAAUCCAUAGGUUAAUGAGGCGAACCGGGGGAACUGAAACAUCUAAGUACCCCGAGGAAAAGAAAUCAACCGAGAUUCCCCCAGUAGCGGCGAGCGAACGGGGAGGAGCCCAGAGCCUGAAUCAGCAUGUGUGUUAGUGGAAGCGUCUGGAAAGGCGCGCGAUACAGGGUGAUAGCCCCGUACACAAAAGCGCAU
rnacentral:rRNA from 1 species